AAAAAUAUGGUAUCUUAGAUAAAUAUAAAUAUUUUUUUAAUAAUUGAAUGAAAAGUGGGGACAAAGAAACCACAUUUAAAUGAAAAGUGGUAUCCGUUUUAUUAUGCAAAUGUUGUGAACUCCGUAUAAAUAAUCUGACACAAAUUGAAAUAAAUCUAAAAUUAAAAAAUAAUAAAAAAAUCAAAAACUAAUUAUUAAACGUGGUAGCAUCGAGAGUCCAUCAAAGUAGGGUUUGGUAUUCUUCAUCUUUCUCUCACUUUCUCCUCCUUGCCGCCUCUGUUAUCUUAUUUUUCAUUUUUUUUUGACAUGCCGCCUCUAUUAUCGCUGGAAGCAACACUCAACAAUGGCGGAACAUGUAAUCACCAACAAUAUGAAAAACCACUACUUUCGAGCCGGCGAAUCCGAUACUACUGCCUUCUAUUGGGUUUGGUGUAGAUCCUAUUAUUGUCAACCCAACUCCUCAGUUUCCUGUUAAGAUCGGACCCGUAUUCGGAUUAUGAUCUCAAAGCUAUUCCAGGUCGGAGAUUACAGACACAUCCACACAGGGGGCAGCGUAAUGGUGCAGCACACACCGCAAUGUCACAUCCUCUAAAGGAGAGAGAAAACCAAAGGGAUACAAUCCGUUAAGAACACAUUUAGGAUUAUUCAAACUCAGAUACGGAGUAGUCAUAUACUUCUGUAUUUUUGAGAUGGAUAUAUAAUAUUUUUAAUUAUAUUUUCAAUUAUUGAUCAAAUUAAUUACUUGGUACUCAUUAAUUUUGUAGAUUAAGAACUUUAGAUGAAAUGAAUAAAGAAUAUUAGGAA